AUGGCGAAGUAUUGGUGGAGUAGUUCGAUCGAUAAGAGGUCUCCAAAAUGUCAGGGAGGGAUGGGUUUUCGCGACCUCCACAUGUUCAAUCUGGCACUUCUUGGCAAACAUGGUUGGCGUUUCAUGACCAAUCCCACCUCACUUUGUGCCAGAGUUCUGAAAGGUAGAUACUUUCCAGACACUGAUUUCCUGCAGGCUAGAGCACCAAAGGCUGCUUCGGCUACCUGGCGGGCAAUCAUCUCUGGA
rnacentral:rRNA from 1 species